CAACCUCUGCGGUGCUCGUGCUGAGCAAGGUGAUACUCUCCAACCGACAACCACGCGCGGGAGCCAGCAGAACUGUCAGUGGAAAACAAGCCUCAUCCGAGGACGUUUGAAGCUGUCAUCUGGCGCCCACCUUGAAUGCGGGGUUGGAAGGGCCUUCUCCACGGCACACGGCGGAGGUUGU
rnacentral:other from 1 species